GUCAAAACCAGUACGGACAAGGGGAAUCUGACAGUUUAAUUAAAACAAAUCAUUGUGAUGGUCCCUACAGAUGUUGAAAAAAAUUGAUUUAUGCCCAGUGCUCUACAUGUCAAAGUGAAGAAAUUCAACCAAGAAUGGGUAAACAACAGGAGUAACUAUGACUCUCUUAAGGUAGCUUGAUGUCUUGUCAUCUAAUUAGUAACUCGCAAGAAUUGAUUAACAAUAUUCCCACUGUCCUUAGCUACUAUCUAGAGAAACCACAUCCAAGGAAAUGGGCUUGGAGGAAUUAGUAGGGAAAGAAGACCUUGUUGAGCUUGAAUCUAAUCUGAAUUUUUGAAAUGACUUGAGAGGUGUAGAAUAAGUGGGAUUUGUUUUCAUUGCAAGUGAAAUAUGGCCACUAGUUUUAAUGUUAUUUUACUUAUUCCAUGGGGAGGAGACGGGGCAUUGCAUAUAUGUUAAAAUAUAACACACAUUUCCUCAAAGUGUUGUCAUUGAUGUCAAUGGUUGAGAGAUCAUUCUUCAUGCACUUUAUGAAAAUGAAUUUAAGAAACCAAAGAGGAUCAUUGCCUUUAAGGACUUACAAAGUUCCUACAAAGAGGAUCAUUCAACACCUAAGUGAAUUCAACAAUUCAUGGAUUCCCUUUGUUGAUCUACACCUUCGU
rfam:Picea glauca, whole genome shotgun sequence.